rnacentral:pre_miRNA from 1 species
AAGACAAUUGCUAGGUUGUACGGUAAGAAAUUUCAUAAGAAAUUUCUAAUAUCUUUUCCAGAGUGGCUGUACCAUUUUACAUUCCUACCAUGAAU